UACGUAGGGUGCGAGCGUUAAUCGGAAUUACUGGGCGUAAAGCGUGCGCAGGCGGCGGCUCAAGUCAGGUGUGAAAUCCCCGGGCUUAACCUGGGAAUUGCGCUUGAAACUAGGUCGCUAGAGUGUGGCAGAGGGGGGGUGGAAUUCCACGUGUAGCAGUGAAAUGCGUAGAGAUGUGGAGGAACACCGAUGGCGAAGGCAGCCCCCUGGGUCAACACUGACGCUCAUGCACGAAAGCGUGGGGAGCAAACGGG
rnacentral:rRNA from 1 species